UACAGAGGGAGCAAGCGUUAUUCGGAAUUAUUGGGCGUAAAGGGCGCGUAGGCGGCUUUGCAAGUGGCGGGUGAAAUCCCUCGGCUUAACCGAGGAACUGCCUGUCAAACUGCAUGGCUUGAGACCAGGAGAGGUGAGUGGAAUUCCCAGUGUAGCGGUGAAAUGCGUAGAUAUUGGGAGGAACACCAGUGGCGAAGGCGGCUCACUGGACUGGUACUGACGCUGAUGCGCGAAAGCGUGGGGAGCAAACAGG
rnacentral:rRNA from 1 species